UGAACGCUGGCGGCGUGCUUAACACAUGCAAGUCGUACGAGAAAUCGCGCCUUCGGGUGUGAGAGUAAAGUGGCGCACGGGUGAGUAACGCGUGGGUAACCUACCCGUGAAGUCUGGGAUAACAUCCCGAAAAGGGUGCUAAUACCGGAUAAGACCACGGGGUUUUCGGACCCUGGGGUAAAAGGUGGCCUCUUCUUGAAAGCUGCUACUUAAGGAUGGGCCCGCGUGGCAUUAGCUUGUUGGUAGGGUAACGGCCUACCAAGGCUGCGAUGCCUAGCUGGUCUGAGAGGAUGAUCAGCCACACUGGAACUGGAACACGGUCCAGACUCCUACGGGAGGCAGCAGUGAGGAAUUUUGCGCAAUGGGGGAAACCCUGACGCAGCAACGCCGCGUGGGUGAUGAAGGCCUUCGGGUCGUAAAGCCCUGUCAAGUGGGAAGAAAUCCUGCAAGGUCAAUACCCUUGUUGGUUGACGGUACCACUGAAGGAAGCACCGGCUAACUCCGUGCCAGCAGCCGCGGUAAUACGGAGGGUGCAAGCGUUAUUCGGAAUCAUUGGGUGUAAAGCGAGUGUAGGCGGCUUGGUAAGUCAGAUGUGAAAGCUCCGGGCUUAACUCGGAAAGUGCAUUUGAAACUGCCAGGCUUGAGUACGGGAGAGGAAGGUGGAAUUCCCAGUGUAGAGGUGAAAUUCGUAGAUAUUGGGAGGAACACCGGUGGCGCACGCGACCUUCUGGACCGAUACUGACGCUAAGACUCGAAAGCGUGGGGAGCAAACAGGA
rnacentral:rRNA from 1 species